rnacentral:tRNA from 1 species
GUACCGAUGGUUUAGUGAUAGAAUUCUCGCCUUCCAUGCGGGAGACCUGGGUUCAAUUCCCAGCCAAGGCA